UGUUGUAGUGUUUCUUUUUUGAAAAAAUAUAAACAAACAAAACCUGUCAUUCUCAGUACUCACCACUCUCAUCCGAAAAGAACAUGUUUUCUCACUCAGUGAUCGUCACUGCCCGUUAGUCUUUCUCCACCGAUUGGCCCUCUCGCCUCAGCCUCGGGAUUCUUUCUGUUUACUCGUUGAUUUUACCCUUACUGGUUUUUUUUUAUAUUUCUUUGUUUCCUCUCAUUCUAAGGUUUAUUUCUCUUAUCUCUCUCUCUCUCUCACCUCAACAGCCCCAGCUGUGCCUAUCAAUCUCAGUUCAGGUAAAGGAAAAGAAAAGUUGGACCGACCAUGAGUUGGAGAGCUUCAGGGGCGGGGUGUGCAUAUGCGACCUGCUCGACCGCCACGACCCAAGGUAUGUGUUGGAACUAGGGUUGGACCUUAUUUUGCCGCUUAGGUCGACAUUUUGUAUUUAUUGAAACUGUAACAUUUUAAACUAUUUUUUGGGAUCCAAUGUAAAGACUUAAACCUUUUUUUAAUGAAAUGCUUACUAUUUGACA